rnacentral:rRNA from 1 species
GCUAGCACCGUGCCGAUGUGCUCGGUAGUCGGUAGGGUGCGAGCGUUACUGGGACGUACGGUGCGUAAGGGGUGGCACGGCGGCAAGGCAAGUCGAGUGGGAAAGCCCCGGGCUUAACUUGGGAAGUGCGCUCGAAACUACUUUGCUGGAGUGUGGCAGAGGAAGGUGGAAUUCCACGUGUAGCGGUGAAAUGCGUAGAGAUGUGGAGGAACACCAAUGGCGAAGGCAGCCUUCUGGGCCAACACUGACGCUCAUGCACGAAAGCGUGGGGAGCAAACAGGAUUAGAUACCCGUGUAGUC